rnacentral:rRNA from 1 species
GACGAACCGUGCGAACGUUAUUCGGAAUCACUGGGCUUAAAGCGCGUGUAGGCGGGCCGGCACGUCGGUCGCUGAAAUCCCCCGGCUCAACCGGGGAAGUGGCGCCGAAACGGCCCGCCUGGAGGAACGUAGGGGGAGCUGGAACUUCCGGUGGAGCGGUGAAAUGCGUUGAGAUCGGAAGGAACGCCCGUGGCGAAAGCGAGCUCCUGGACGUUUUCUGACGCUGAGACGCGAAAGCCAGGGGA